GAUGAACGCUGGCGGCGUGCCUAAUACAUGCAAGUCGAGCGAACAGACGAGGAGCUUGCUCCUCUGACGUUAGCGGCGGGCGGGUGAGUAACACGUGGAUAACCUACCUAUAAGACUGGGAUAACUUCGGGAAACCGGAGCUAAUACCGGAUAAUAUAUUGAACCGCAUGGUUCAAUAGUGAAAGACGGUUUUGCUGUCACUUAUAGAUGGUUCCGCGCCGCAUUAGCUAGUUGGUAAGGUAACGGCUUACCAAGGCAACGAUGCGUAGCCGACCUGAGAGGGUGAUCGGCCACACUGGAACUGAGACACGGUCCAGACUCCUACGGGAGGCAGCAGUAGGGAAUCUUCCGCAAUGGGCGAAAGCCUGACGGAGCAACGCCGCGUGAGUGAUGAAGGUCUUCGGAUCGUAAAACUCUGUUAUUAGGGAAGAACAAAUGUGUAAGUAACUAUGCACGUCUUGACGGUACCUAAUCAGAAAGCCACGGCUAACUACGUG
rnacentral:rRNA from 1 species